CAAGGGUUCUACGUAUUUACUACAUUAAAUCUCGUCCUUCAGUGUGCGGCCGCUGCCUGGAUGAGAGUAGCUUGCUGGCGCCACGUAUGCGUUUGGCAGCCACGCAUACAUCAUUUAGUGGCUGCUGGCCUUAAAGUGGCGGAUCAUUUUUCAUCCCCAAACCUAUAUUCUGCCUAUUUCUGCUGAUGGAAAGACUCGGUCGUUGGUCUCGUUUUAUAAUCUGGAGCCGUAUGUCUAUCCCAUGCAUGUUUAAAUCCCCUCACUGUAUUACCCUCUACCACUUCUGCUGGGCGGCUGUAGAAAGACUUACAGACCCAACGUUCAUAAUUUUCAAUCAACCAAGCAAACUUUCAGCAUAGCUUCCUUUAUUCUUAUCGGCCUAAUGCUACUAUAUGUACCGUCGCCUGCUUAUAAAUGAGCUUUCUAAAAUAAUUAGCCAAACACUAUAACUAAAUGAAGGAAAAUGCUUUGGUGUUGUGGCGCUGCGGAAAAAAAAAAAAGAAAA